CUUUUAUGGAGAGUUUGAUCCUGGCUCAGGACGAACGCUGGCGGCGUGCCUAAUACAUGCAAGUCGAGCGCGGGAAGCAAGCGGAUCCCCUUCGGGGGUGAAGCUUGUGGAACGAGCGGCGGACGGGUGAG
rnacentral:rRNA from 1 species